GACGAACGCUGGCGGCGUGCCUAAUACAUGCAAGUUGAGCGCUGAAGGUUGGUACUUGUACCAACUGGAUGAGCAGCGAACGGGUGAGUAACGCGUGGGGAAUCUGCCUUUGAGCGGGGACAACAUUUGGAAACGAAUGCUAAUACCGCAUAAAAACUUUAAACACAAGUUUUAAGUUUGAAAGAUGCAAUUGCAUCACUCAAAGAUGAUCCCGCGUUGUAUUAGCUAGUUGGUGAGGUAAAGGCUCACCAAGGCGAUGAUACAUAGCCGACCUGAGAGGGUGAUCGGCCACAUUGGGACUGAGACACGGCCCAAACUCCUACGGGAGGCAGCAGUAGGGAAUCUUCGGCAAUGGACGAAAGUCUGACCGAGCAACGCCGCGUGAGUGAAGAAGGUUUUCGGAUCGUAAAACUCUGUUGGUAGAGAAGAACGUUGGUGAGAGUGGAAAGCUCAUCAAGUGACGGUAACUACCAGAAAGGGACGGCUAACUACGUG
rnacentral:rRNA from 1 species